GAUAUUGGACACUCGGGGCAACCCUGAUCGAGCCAUGCCGCGUGUGUGAGGGAGGACUGUCGGUUGUAAAUCACUCUCAGCUGUGAGGAAGACUCCAUGGUUAAUACCCAUGGACGCUGACAUUAGCAGCACAAUACGCGCAGGCUAAGUCUGUGCCAGCAGCCGCGGUAAGACAGAGGGUGCAAGCGUUAAUCGGAAUUACUGGGCGUAAAGCGAGCGUAGGUGGCUUGAUAAGUCAGAUGUGAAAGACCGGGGCUUAACCUGGGAACGGCAUUGGAUACUGUUAGGCUAGAGUAUGUGAGAGGAAGGUAGAAUUCCAGGUGUAGCGGUGAAAUGCGUAGAGAUCUGGAGGAAUACCGAUGGCGAAGGCAGCCAUCUGGCCUAAUACUGACGCUGAGGUGCGAAAGCAUGGGGAGCAAAU
rnacentral:rRNA from 1 species